CCAGUGAGGAAAUACAUGGCUUAGUUUUGUGCUUUUCUUCUUAAGAGCUCAUUAUAUAUUGCUCUCCUGGCCAUUAAAGCUUAGCUCUCUGGCUUAUGUGAAAGCCCUGUUUCCUGAUCUCUGCGUUAUCCCAACCUUGACCUAAUUCACGCAGUUUCUGACUGAGAGAGUGUUUUGCAGGUCCAUUUAUCUACUUGGCUUCGAACAGAUGCUGCGGCGAGAUCAUUUUAGAUGGAGUCUCUUCUCGUCUUGGGAGUGAAUUAGGGAAUAAGGCAGAGAAUUAGGGAAUCAGGCUGAUCGCUUAAUAUCGUGGCUCAGUGAUUUUCAGACUUCUCUGAUCUGAUAACGCUCGCACAUCUUCUAAGGGAGGUGCAAACUCCAGAUAGCAGAUUUAAGGCUGCUGACAUUUAACUAGCUUUCCUUGUUAUUUUUCUCAGACUCUUAAAAUUAGGCUCUGGCCCUGGGGAGCCUGCAGUUUGCAGGCUGAAAACCACUGAUAACAAACUUUUCUUGAUAAGGCAGUUUGUCUUCAGUGCACAGAGGUGUCACAGAAACCACUGAGGUGUUCAGGAGGAAAUGGGGCUCAGGUGAGGGAGCCCAGUUCAGUGUGGUAACCUCAAGCUUGGGCAACUCUCAAGGGCUGACGUGGACCUGGACUGGUGUCACUGCUUCAGGCAAGAUCUUCAGUAGCUGGAUUUGUGCCUUCUAAGCCAGCAGCUCUGCCUCUACAGUGUUAAUUCACCAAGGAUCCUCUGGAAAAUAACAGCCUGCCUUAACUUCUCAGGGGGGUCUCUCCCCUCCACCAACAGCAGAUCGUCUGUGAUGACAAGUGACUUGUGAAUGAUCCUCGGGGCAGAUCUCAUCUACACUUGGCCAUGAUAAACAAGAAACCAACAAAUCCUAGGGAGAUAACUGAUGGCAGCCCUGCUCUGCAAAAUACCAUGCUGUAGUGACACGACAGAAAAUACCUAAGGUCUCAGCCAGGGUCCCUCAGCAGCUCAUGGACAAGCACUUUUCUUGCAGCUGAUUUUCCAGCCAUGGAGCAGCACCUUCAGCUCAGCCCGUUCGGUGCCCCCGCAUGCUUUCUGGUAUUUACCUUCGCUUUUCCAGCUUCUUCCUCCCAUCUGGUCUCCUGCAUUUGUUGCCAAGAGCUACCCUUGCUCGUUGUGAGUAAGUCAUCACUGUGUGGUUUAAACUGAUUUUGGGGGAACCAAGCCAGCAAACGGUGGCCAUGAAACAACCACAAACCGGUGUUGCUGCUGCGGGUUACAAGCAACACUCUGAGCUGACUUCACUCUGAUUGCUGGCUCUGAGCCGUGGCUUUCUGACCUGAGCAGCAGAGCAGAACGAUUAGCCAUAUAAGUGCAAGGCAGGGGCUGUAUUUUGGAUUAUUCAGAUUAUCAAACUCUCAAUCUCUGCAUCUGGCAUAAUCACCGUUUCAUUGCCUGCUUCCUCUGUUAGCUAAAAGUGCA